rnacentral:rRNA from 1 species
GUCUACAGCCAUCCCACCCUGAAACCACCCAAUCUCAUCUGAUCUGAGAAGCUAAGCAGGGUUAGCCCUGGUUAGUGCUUGGAUGGUACUUAGAUUACCCAUAUACACUUCAUAAUGCAAUAACAGGAAAUACAGAUA